AGUGAACGCUGGCGGCGUGCCUAAUACAUGCAAGUCGAACGGAGAUUAAGUAGCUUGCUAUUUAAUCUUAGUGGCGCACGGGUGAGUAAUAUAUAGCUAACUUGCCCAUUACUAAGGGACAACAGUUGGAAACGACUGCUAAUGCCUUAUACUCCGUAUCUAUAUAAGUAGAUACGGGAAAGUUUUUCGGUAAUGGAUAGGGCUAUAUCGUAUCAGCUAGUUGGUAAGGUAAUGGCUUACCAAGGCUAUGACGCGUAACUGGUCUGAGAGGAUGAUCAGUCACGCUGGAAGUGAGGCACGGUCCAGACUCCUACGGGAGGCGGCAGUAGGGAAUAUUGCUCAAUGGGGGAAACCCGGAAGCAGCAACGCCGCGUGGAGGAGGACACUUUUCGGAGCGUAAACUCCUUUUCUUGGGAAAGAAUUAUGACGGUACCCAAGGAAUAAGCACCGGCUAACUCCGUG
rnacentral:rRNA from 1 species